GUGGGGAAUAUUGGACAAUGGGGGGAACCCUGAUCCAGCCAUGCCGCGUGUGUGAAGAAGGCCUUUUGGUUGUAAAGCACUUUAAGCGAGGAGGAGGCUACCGAGAUUAAUACUCUUGGAUAGUGGACGUUACUCGCAGAAUAAGCACCGGCUAACUCUGUGCCAGCAGCCGCGGUAAUACAGAGGGUGCAAGCGUUAAUCGGAUUUACUGGGCGCAAAGCGCGCGUAGGUGGCCAAUUAAGUCAAAUGUGAAAUCCCCGAGCUUAACUUGGGAAUUGCAUUCGAUACUGGUUGGCUAGAGUAUGGGAGAGGAUGGUAGAAUUCCAGGUGUAGCGGUGAAAUGCGUAGAGAUCUGGAGGAAUACCGAUGGCGAAGGCAGCCAUCUGGCCUAAUACUGACACUGAGGUACGAAAGCAUGGGGAGCAAACAGGAUUAGAUACCCCAGUAGUCC
rnacentral:rRNA from 1 species